rnacentral:lncRNA from 1 species
UCACUUGAUCUUAAAACCCUAGUUUUGUGGGACACUUUGGUGUGAGUUUAUUUAUGGGACUUUGUGCUUGCUUUAGGGUGAUCUUGGAAAACCUAAUUCAUGAAUAUUUGGACUAGUUGGUCAUUGAGGGUUGAUUCAUCCCUUGCCCAUGGUUUAGGGGCUUGAUAUGUGUUUCCUGAUACUUUGAUCUAAUGCUUUGUUUCAUCCAAGUUUAUUCAUGCUUUCAUUUAUAGGCAUAGUCAUUUGAUUCAUUGCUUGUGGUGCAUUCAUAUUCAUACUUUCAUAAUGCAUCAGCUAUUUCUUAUUGUGGAUUUACUAGUUCAUGAUUUCAUUUGCAUCUAGGAUCCAUGGAACCUUAGUCCAUUAUUGCAUUCCUAGGCCAUGAUUCC